GCAUAUCAAUAAGCGGAGGAAAAGAAACUAACAAGGAUUCCCCUAGUAACUGCGAGUGAAGCGGGAAAAGCUCAAAUUUAAAAUCUGGUGGUCUCUGGCCAUCCGAGUUGUAAUCUAGAGAAGUGUUAUCCGCGCUGGACCGUGUACAAGUCUCCUGGAAUGGAGCGUCAUAGAGGGUGAGAAUCCCGUCUUUGAUACGGACUGCCAGGGCUUUGUGAUGCGCUCUCAAAGAGUCGAGUUGUUUGGGAAUGCAGCUCAAAAUGGGUGGUAAAUUCCAUCUAAAGCUAAAUAUUGGCGAGAGACCGAUAGCGAACAAGUACCGUGAGGGAAAGAUGAAAAGAACUUUGGAAAGAGAGUUAAACAGUACGUGAAAUUGCUGAAAGGGAAACGCUUGAAGUCAGUCGCGUUGUCUGGGGAUCAACCUUACUUUUGUUGGGCGUACUUUCCAGAUGACGGGUCAGCAUCAAUUUUGACCGUUGGAUAAAGUCUAGAGGAAUGUGGCAUCUUCGGAUGUGUUAUAGCCUUUGGUCGCAUACAACGGUUGGGAUUGAGGAACUCAGCACGCCGAAAGGCCGGGUACUUGUACCACGUUCGUGCUUAGGAUGCUGGCAUAAUGGCUUUAAUCGACCCGUCUUGAAACACGGACCAAGGAGUCUAACAUGCCUGCGAGUAUUUGGGUGGAAAACCCGAGUGCGUAAUGAAAGUGAAAGUUGAGAUCCUCGUCAUGGGGAGCAUCGACGCCCGGACCAGACCUUUUGUGACGGAUCUGCGGUAGAGCAUGUAUGUUGGGACCCGAAAGAUGGUGAACUAUGCCUGAAUAGGGUGAAGCCAGAGGAAACUCUGGUGGAGGCUCGUAGCGAUUCUGACGUGCAAAUCGAUCGUCAAAUUUGGGUAUAGGGGCGAAAGACUAAUCGAACCAUCUAGUAGCUGGUUCUGC
rnacentral:rRNA from 1 species